rnacentral:rRNA from 1 species
CUCCGUUGGUGAACCAGCGGAGGGAUCAUUACCGAGUUUACAACUCCCAAACCCAAUGUGAACGUUACCAAACUGUUGCCUCGGCGGGGUCACGCCCCGGGUGCGUAAAAGCCCCGGAACCAGGCGCCCGCCGGAGGAACCAACCAAACUCUUUCUGUAGUCCCCUCGCGGACGUAUUUCUUACAGCUCUGAGCAAAAAUUCAAAAUGAAUCAAAACUUUCAACAACGGAUCUCUUGGUUCUGGCAUCGAUGAAGAACGCAGCGAAAUGCGAUAAGUAAUGUGAAUUGCAGAAUUCAGUGAAUCAUCGAAUCUUUGAACGCACAUUGCGCCCGCCAGUAUUCUGGCGGGCAUGCCUGUCCGAGCGUCAUUUCAACCCUCGAACCCCUCCGGGGGAUCGGCGUUGGGGAUCGGGACCCCUCACCGGGUGCCGGCCCUGAAAUACAGUGGCGGUCUCGCCGCAGCCUCUCCUGCGCAGUAGUUUGCACAACUCGCACCGGGAGCGCGGCGCGUCCACGUCCGUAAAACACCCAACUUCUGAAAUGUUGACCUCGGAUCAGGUAGGAAUACCCGCUGAACUUAA